rnacentral:rRNA from 1 species
CCUACGGGUGGCAGCAGUGAGGAAUAUUGGUCAAUGGGCGGGAGCCUGAACCAGCCAAGUCGCGUGAGGGAAGACGGUCCUACGGAUUGUAAACCUCUUUUGCCGGGGAGCAACGGGGUCCUUGCGAGGGCCCGAUGAGAGUACCCGGAGAAAAAGCAUCGGCUAACUCCGUGCCAGCAGCCGCGGUAAUACGGAGGAUGCGAGCGUUGUCCGGAUUUACUGGGUGUAAAGGGCGUGUAGCCGGGUUGACAAGUCAGAUGUGAAAUCCUGCGGCUUAACCGCAGAACUGCAUGUGAAACUGUUGAUCUUGAGUACUGGAGAGGCAGAUGGAAUUCCGAGUGUAGCGGUGAAAUGCGUAGAUAUUAGGAGGAACACCAGUGGCGAAGGCGGUCUGCUGGACAGCAACUGACGGUGAGGCGCGAAAGCGUGGGGAGCAAACAGGAUUAGAUACCCUGGUAGUC